AAGAUUAAUUGAUUUUUCAACAAUGAAGUGCUAUAAUAUGAAAGCACCAUUACAGGAGGCUGGGUCCUGCGCAAUAGGAACCCGUGAAACUGGUCAGGCCCGGAAGGGAGCAGCCAUAAGCGGAGAUUUCUAUGUGCAGCAGGGAAACCCAGCCAUCUUUAAUAAUUUU
rnacentral:SRP_RNA from 1 species